rnacentral:piRNA from 1 species
UGACUUAGAGCUCUCAGGACACAGUCUUAU